rnacentral:rRNA from 1 species
UCCCAGCACUCCAAGUCGCAGCCACAAUUAUUGGGUCUAAAACAUCCGUAGCUUGUCUUGUAAGUCUUUUGUGAAAUCGGGCAUCUCAAGUGUCCGGCGUGCAAAAGCUACUGCUUGACUAGGGACCGGGAGAUGCAAUGAGUAUAAAUAGAGUAGCGGUAAAAUGCGUUGAUCCUAUUUAGACUAACAACAGCGAAGGCACGUUGCAAGAACGGAUCCGACAGUGAGGGAUGAAGGCUAGGGGCGCAAAUUG